CCUACGGGAGGCAGCAGUGGGGGAUAUUGCACAAUGGGGGAAACCCUGAUGCAGCAACGCCGCGUGUGGGAAGAAGGUUUUCGAAUUGUAAACCUCUGUUCUUGGUGAAGAUAAUGACGGUAACCAAGGAGAAAGCUCCGGCUAACUACGUGCCAGCAGCCGCGGGAAUACGUAGGGAGCAAGCGUUGUCCGGAUUUACUGGGUGUAAAGGGGACGUAGGCGGUUUUGCAAGUCAGACGGGAAAACCACAGGCGCAACCUGUGGACUGCGUUUGAAACUGUGGGGCUUGAGUGAAGUAGAGGUAGGCGGAAUUCCCGGUGUAGCGGUGAAAUGCGUAGAGAUCGGGAGGAACACCAGUGGCGAAGGCGGCCUACCGGGCGUUAACUGACGCUGAGGCACGAAAGCAUGGGUAGCAAACAGGAUUAGAUACCCGAGUAGUC
rnacentral:rRNA from 1 species